GUUGCCUGCCACAGAGGUUUGCUCAUGUGUGAUUGAUUGCCCUGGUGUUCUUCUAAAAUCUGAAGUAUUAUUCACUCCAGAAAUUCAACACCAGUGAUGUCACCACAUGGAAUGCAAAUCUGAGUUCGUGGACAUCGGCCCCCAAGACCAUGGCCCUAUCAAUGCAGGUCAUGUCAGGGAGACUUUGGCUGAAGAAAAUCACAACAGACGAGAGAUAAUGCAAGAGAAAAAUAAAACCAUUCCAUGAGGAUGUCAUUCUGGAACUUCCUGUUACCAGGGAGUGAGAUCAGGAUGCUUGGGGCAAGGUACAUUUGGGUAAAGCUUUGGAUUCUUAGAACUUCCACUGAGCACUGCGGGACAAAAGACUAGCAGGGGUUUCUAAUUAGAAGAGUUUUGCAGCAUGUGCUAAAGCUUACUUUCUUUAGAGUGUAUGGCGUUAUGCCCAC
rnacentral:lncRNA from 1 species